rnacentral:lncRNA from 8 species
UGUUGUGUACUCCAUGAAACCACUGGUGACAUGAGGGAGUAAAUUAUUGAUCACAUCAGAGGAGAGAUGUGGCUGACUCAGCCUCAUCACCUCAAACCGUUCUGUUUCUUUAUUCAAACACUGCUUUGAAUAUGGGAAGAGGAGUUCAAAGAAUUGACCUCAGAAAUUUGAAUUUUCGAUGUAUUGCUUUUGGAUUGUAGGAAUCACGGGUUGUGGUUACUGAACCAAGAUAAUUAUAGAGCUGAGAUAGUCUUUGUAUAAUUUGUACAGCUCCAUUUAGUGAAUGAAAACAUGGAAUGUUCCCAGUUUAAGUCAGUUGAACAUUGUAUCGAUACUACUGAAACCAUAGAAGAGAAUAAGCUUGCCUAUGAUUCCCCAAAGACUCAAGGUUUUCAUACCAGCAUUUAGCAGAUGUAGAAUGGUGUAUACUGUAGUGACUGAACACACAUCUGUAUGUCCUCUCUUGAUUAAGAUACUUCUAUGUUGGCCUCCCUCCCCUCCCCACCAAUGAAAAUGUAAACAAUUAUAUGGAGAGUUUAAUUGCUGCAUUAUUGCCUUUUACAAUGCUGUAGAUAGCAUAGAGCCUCAACUUGUGAUUUUCUUUUAAUAAGCAACUUUUUGCACUGCACCCCCACCUUUUUGUAAUCACUGUCAUGCAUGUAUUAAAUAACAAAAAUAUAGUUUCUAUCUCAGUCUCCUACUGGUUUUUCCAGUUUCCUUUGUAUUCCACUACAUACAUAACUAAGCAGAUGUUGUUUUUUACAUGUUACUUAUUUCUCACAUUUUUCUCUGUUUUAGACAAUAGUUGCAAUAGUCCUGAGAAUGACUGCACAUGUAAGGAUUGUGAUAUUGCUCACCUUUUUAUAUGUUCCUGUAAAAACUCCAUCAGUCAAUGAAGAUCCAGGAUUCACCAUUACUUGUACAAAUCGCAAAGGUGAAGUCAUAUACCGUAAAAAGGACUGGACUACAGCUUUUUCAGCAGGCAAUGCUAAAUGUACAAAGCGAGCAAAAGGCAAAGAAUUUCAGUGCCUAGAGUGGCAAUCCGAACUCUUUGAGACAUUUAAAAACCAAAAUAUCAAUUUCCCCUCAUACGGUGGCAUCUGGAGAGGGUGGAAAAAAUCAACAAAUUCACAAAAUACAAAACCAUUCGGAACAAAUCAAAUUUCACAUCUUGAUCAUAGCCAUACCAGUAUUAGGGCUAUUCAUUGUAUGAUUGGUGUGCUGCUAUACCAGAAGAUGGAAAGAUUGACAUCCUCAAACAUCUAAGGAGUAUUCACUAGUAACUUAAUAGAAUCAAAUGGAAGCAAGCCCCCCUAAUGAUUGCAUCCAACUAUAACAAACCAUGGCAGGCAGCAAAAACCAUAUUGUCUGUGACGACAAGCCUUUCAGUUGUCUGUGACGACUGAAAGAAGGAAAAAAAUCCCACUUAACAUGCAGAAGAUAACACAACAAUAAGAGACAACCUUUUAAUAAAUUCAGAAUUUGGAUGACUGUGAUUUUUUUAAAAAGUAUUACUUUUUAAAGCAGUGUUUUGUAUUUUGUAGAAUCUGUAAGGUCAAUAAGACUUUUAUUUUGUUGUUAAAAGACAAGCUUUAUCAUUUUGUUAUAAGACACUUUAUCAUUUUGUUCAGUUGCUUAGCUACCAGGUUUAGGGUAAUUUCGAAUGGAAGUCUUAGGAAGUGACUUUAGGAAGUAAUUUGAAUAAAAAUAUUUAAAAGAAAAAAAAUGUUUCACAUGAAUAGCAUCUCCUUUUCAGUUUAUUGAGAAGUCUUUGAAAAUAGAUGUCCUUUUUUCAAUUGUCGAAUUGACUGGCUUCAAUUUUUAUUGACCCCAGCCCUGUUACAGGGUAUGACAAUGACUGACUAUGACUUUCC